rnacentral:rRNA from 1 species
AGUCGAACGGAAAGGCCCUUCGGGGUACUCGAGUGGCGAACGGGUGAGUAACACGUGGGUGAUCUGCCCUGCACUUUGGGAUAAGCCUGGGAAACUGGGUCUAAUACCGAAUACACCCUGCUGGUCGCAUGGCCUGGUGGGGGAAAGCUUUUGCGGUGUGGGAUGGGCCCGCGGCCUAUCAGCUUGUUGGUGGGGUGAUGGCCUACCAAGGCGACGACGGGUAGCCGGCCUGAGAGGGUGUCCGGCCACACUGGGACUGAGAUACGGCCCAGACUCCUACGGGAGGCAGCAGUGGGGAAUAUUGCACAAUGGGCGCAAGCCUGAUGCAGCGACGCCGCGUGGGGGAUGACGGCCUUCGGGUUGUAAACCUCUUUCAGCACAGACGAAGCGCAAGUGACGGUAUGUGCAGAAGAAGCACCGGCCAACUACGUGCCAGCAGCCGCGGUAAUACGUAGGGUGCGAGCGUUGUCCGGAAUUACUGGGCGUAAAGAGCUCGUAGGUGGUUUGUCGCGUUGUCCGUGAAAACUCACAACUCAAUUGUGGGCGUGCGGGCGAUACGGGCAGACUGGAGUACUGCAGGGGAGACUGGAAUUCCUGGUGUAGCGGUGGAAUGCGCAGAUAUCAGGAGGAACACCGGUGGCGAAGGCGGGUCUCUGGGCAGUAACUGACGCUGAGGAGCGAAAGCGUGGGGAGCGAACAGGAUUAGAUACCCUGGUAGUCCACGCCGUAAACGGUGGGUACUAGGUGUGGGUUUCCUUCCUUGGGAUCCGUGCCGUAGCUAACGCAUUAAGUACCCCGCCUGGGGAGUACGGCCGCAAGGCUAAAACUCAAAGGAAUUGACGGGGGCCCGCACAAGCGGCGGAGCAUGUGGAUUAAUUCGAUGCAACGCGAAGAACCUUA